rnacentral:rRNA from 1 species
CUUUCCCUCUUUCUUUAGGCCUAACACAUGCAAGUCGAACGGCAGCACAGUAAGAGCUUGCUCUUACGGGUGGCGAGUGGCGGACGGGUGAGGAAUACAUCGGAAUCUACUUUUUCGUGGGGGAUAACGUAGGGAAACUUACGCUAAUACCGCAUACGACCUACGGGUGAAAGCAGGGGAUCUUCGGACCUUGCGCGAUUGAAUGAGCCGAUGUCGGAUUAGCUAGUUGGCGGGGUAAAGGCCCACCAAGGCGACGAUCCGUAGCUGGUCUGAGAGGAUGAUCAGCGACACUGGAACUGAGACACGGUCCAGACUCCUACGGGAGGCAGCAGUGGGGAAUAUUGGACAAUGGGCGCAAGCCUGAUCCAGCCAUACCGCGUGGGUGAAGAAGGCCUUCGGGUUGUAAAGCCCUUUUGUUGGGAAAGAAAAGCAGCAGGUUAAUACCCCGCUGUUCUGACGGUACCCAAAGAAUAAGCACCGGCUAACUUCGUG